UGAGCAAUCUGCCCUUCUCUUCGGAAUAAGCGUUGGAAACGACGUCUAAUGCCGAAUACGACCUCCUUUCGCAUGAUCGGAGGUGGAAAGCUCCGGCGGAGAAGGAUGAGCUCGCGGCCUAUCAGCUAGUUGGUGUGGGUAAUGGCCCACCGAGGCGACGACGGGUAGCCGGCCUGAGAGGGUGACCGGCCACACGUGGGACUGAGACACGGCCCAGACCUCCGUACGGGAGGNAG
rnacentral:rRNA from 1 species